rnacentral:rRNA from 1 species
GACGAACGCUGGCGGCGUGCCUAAUACAUGCAAGUCGAACGCUGUGGGGACGUGUGAGUAACACGUGGGUAACCUCCCAUCAGAGGGGAUAACACUAGGCAACAGGUGCUAAACCGAUAUUUCUGGAUGGACCCGCGGUGCAUUAGCUAGUUGGUGAGGUAACGGCUCACCAAGGCCACGAUGCAUAGGCGACCUGAGAGGGUGAUCGGCCACACUGGGACUGAGACACGGUCCAGACUCCUACGGGAGGCAGCAGUAGGGAAUGUUCGGCAAUGGACGAAAGUCUGACCGAGCAACGCCGCGUGAGUGAAGAAGGUUUUCGGAUCGUAAAACUCUGUUGUUAGAGAAGCGUUAUCUAACCAGAAAGCCACGGCUAACUACGUGCCAGCAGCCGCGGUAAUUC